UUUUGACCGGAAAUCCUCCAAUGACCGGAAAUCCCCCAAUUUCAACCGGAAAUCCUCCAAUUUUGACCGGAAAUCCUCCAAUUCUGACCGGAAAUCCCCCAAUUUUGACCGGAAAUCCCCCAAUUUUGGCCGGAACCCCCCCAGUUCCGGGGCUCCCUCACCUGGGCCAGGUGUGCGGCCACGCCCAGCCCGGGGGGCACCGGGAGGAAGAGGAGGAGGAGGAGGAAAACACGGCGGGGUCCGAGCCCCAAAACCCCGGCGGACGGGGGGAGGUGCCCCCCAAUCGGAGCCCGAGCCCCGCUGGCGACAACGGAGACCCCAAAACUCCCGGGGAGUAAUUUGGGGUGGGGUUUUUUUUUGGUUUUUUUUCCGGUUUUUUUUUCCCCAAAAUUCCUCCCAGAAUUCCCACGGGACCCCCCCCCCCCCCCCAAAACUCCCUCCCCCCAUAAAACCGAUUAAAGCCCUUUAAAGGCGCCCCCCCC